GCCAGACAUGGCGGUACACACCUGUAGUCCCAGUUACUUGAGAGGCUGAGGCGGGAAGAUCACUUGACCUCAGGAGUCCUAGGCUCUGUAGUACACUAUGCCGAUCUAUCAGGUGUCCACACUAAGUUUAGCAUCAAUACGGUGACCUCCUGGGAGUGGGGACCACCAAAUUGUCUAAGCAGAGGUGAGCUGGCCCAGGGGUCAGAAACAGAGCGGGUCAAAACUCUCAUGAUCUCAUUGUGCCACUGCUCUCCAGCCUGGACAAUAUAGUGAGACCCCCCAUCUCU
rnacentral:SRP_RNA from 1 species